UACGUAUGUGGCAAGCGUUGUCCGGAUUUACUGGGCGUAAAGAGCGCGCAGGCGGUCGUACAAGUCGCGUGUUAAAGCCCCCGGCUCAACUGGGGAGGGUCACGCGAUACUGUUCGACUCGAAGGCAGGAGAGGGAAGCAGAAUUCCCGGUGUAGUGGUGAAAUGCGUAGAUAUCGGGAGGAAUACCAGUGGCGAAGGCGGCUUCCUGGCCUGUUCUUGACGCUGAGGCGCGAAAGCUAGGGUAGCAAACGGG
rnacentral:rRNA from 1 species